GGUGGCACAGAGGGUAAAGUGCUUGGCUGUUAACCAAAAGGUUGGUGGUUCAAACCUACCAGCCACUC
rnacentral:tRNA from 1 species